rnacentral:rRNA from 1 species
UAAGACAGAGGUGGCGAGCGUUGUUCGGAAUCACUGGGCUUAAAGGGCGCGUAGGUGGUAGGGUAAGUCCAGGGUGGAAUCCUAUGGCUUAACCAUAGAACUGCCUUGGAGACUGUUUUACUUGAGUCAGUAAGGGGAGGGCAGAAUUCCUGGUGUAGCGGUGAAAUGCGUAGAUAUCAGGAGGAAGGCCGGUGGCGAAGGCGGCCCUCUGGUACUGGACUGACGCUGAGGCGCGAAAGCGUGGGGAGCGAACAGGAUUAGAUACCCUGGUAGUCCACGCCCUAAACGGUGGGCACUAGGUGUAGGGCUCGUAAGGGUUCUGUGCCGAAGGGAAACCAUUAAGUGCCCCGCCUGGGGAGUACGGCCGCAAGGUUGAAACUUAAAGGAAUUGACGG